rnacentral:rRNA from 1 species
AUGAACGCUAGCUACAGGCUUAACACAUGCAAGUCGAGGGGCAGCAUUUCAGUUUGCUUGCAAACUGGAGAUGGCGACCGGCGCACGGGUGAGUAACACGUAUCCAACCUGCCGAUAACUCGGGGAUAGCCUUUCGAAAGAAAGAUUAAUACCCGAUGGUAUAAUCAGACCGCAUGGUCUUGUUAUUAAAGAAUUUCGGUUAUCGAUGGGGAUGCGUUCCAUUAGGCAGUUGGUGAGGUAACGGCUCACCAAACCUUCGAUGGAUAGGGGUUCUGAGAGGAAGGUCCCCCACAUUGGAACUGAGACACGGUCCAAACUCCUACGGGAGGCAGCAGUGAGGAAUAUUGGUCAAUGGGCGCAGGCCUGAACCAGCCAAGUAGCGUGAAGGAUGACUGCCCUAUGGGUUGUAAACUUCUUUUAUAUGGGAAUAAAGUUUUCCACGUGUGGAAUUUUGUAUGUACCAUAUGAAUAAGGAUCGGCUAACUCCGUGCCAGCAGCCGCGGUAAUACGGAGGAUCCGAGCGUUAUCCGGAUUUAUUGGGUUUAAAGGGAGCGUAGGUGGACAGUUAAGUCAGUUGUGAAAGUUUGCGGCUCAACCGUAAAAUUGCAGUUGAUACUGGCUGUCUUGAGUACAGUAGAGGUGGGCGGAAUUCGUGGUGUAGCGGUGAAAUGCUUAGAUAUCACGAAGAACUCCGAUUGCGAAGGCAGCUCACUGGACUGCAACUGACACUGAUGCUCGAAAGUGUGGGUAUCAAACAGGAUUAGAUACCCUGGUAGUCCACACCGUAAACGAUGAUUACUAGGUGUUGGAGGAUUGACCCCUUCAGUGCCGCAGUUAACACAAUAAGUAAUCCACCUGGGGAGUACGACCGCAAGGUUGAAACUCAAAGGAAUUGACGGGGGCCCGCACAAGCGGAGGAACAUGUGGUUUAAUUCGAUGAUACGCGAGGAACCUUACCCGGGCUUAAAUUGCAUUUGAAUAUAUUGGAAACAGUAUAGCCGUAAGGCAAAUGUGAAGGUGCUGCAUGGUUGUCGUCAGCUCGUGCCGUGAGGUGUCGGCUUAAGUGCCAUAACGAGCGCAACCCUUAUCUUUAGUUACUAACAGGUCAUGCUGAGGACUCUAGAGAGACUGCCGUCGUAAGAUGUGAGGAAGGUGGGGAUGACGUCAAAUCAGCACGGCCCUUACGUCCGGGGCUACACACGUGUUACAAUGGGGGGUACAGAAGGCAGCUACCUGGUGACAGGAUGCUAAUCCCAAAAGCCUCUCUCAGUUCGGAUCGAAGUCUGCAACCCGACUUCGUGAAGCUGGAUUCGCUAGUAAUCGCGCAUCAGCCAUGGCGCGGUGAAUACGUUCCCGGGCCUUGUACACACCGCCCGUCAAGCCAUGAAAGCCGGGGGUACCUGAAGUACGUAACCGCAAGGAGCGUCCUAGGGUAAAACUGGUAAUUGGGGCU